CAUACAAUACAAGAGAAGAAGAAGGGAAGGGAAUCCUCCUCUUCUUCAAUAAAAAGGAAGGAAGGGCAGAGUGCAGAGAGAAAGGAGAUCCCCUGAUCCCUCUUCCUCGCCGGCGGCAAUCGCUCGCCGGAGUCAAGGUAGGAUGAUGGCGGCGGCGGGGCUGGAGUCGGCGUGGGAGUACCUCAUCACGCAUUUCAGCGAGUUCCAGCUGGCCUCCAUCGGCACCUUCCUCCUCCACGAGAGCGUCUUCUUCCUCUCCGGCCUCCCCUCUCUCCUCUUCGAGCGCCUCGGCCUCUUCUCCAAGUACAAGAUCCAGAAGAAGAGCAAUACACCCGAUUACCAGAACAGAUGUGUAGUGCGUCUCGUUCUCUACCAUGUCUGCGUCAAUCUCCCUCUCACCAUUUUAUCAUAUCGCACCUUCAAAUUCAUGGGCUUGAGGAGCACCCUUCCGCUGCCUCACUGGACAGUUGUCGUCUCCCAAGUGCUCUUCUUUUUUGUGCUUGAGGAUUUCAUAUUCUACUGGGGGCAUAGGGCACUGCAUACCAAAUGGCUGUACCAGCAUGUUCACAGCGUCCACCAUGAAUAUGCCACACCCUUUGGCCUAACAUCUGAAUAUGCUCACCCUGCUGAGAUUCUAUUCUUGGGCUUUGCUACCGUGGCCGGCCCUGCCCUUACUGGCCCUCACCUCUUCACUCUCUGGGUGUGGAUGGUCUUGAGGGUCUUGGAGACAGUUGAGGCUCACAGUGGCUACCACUUCCCAUGGAGCCCGUCCAAUUUCUUGCCAUUGUAUGGCGGCGCUGAAUUCCAUGACUAUCAUCACCGUGUUCUCUACACCAAGUCUGGGAAUUACUCGUCGACCUUCAUCUACAUGGACUGGCUGUUUGGGACUGAUAAAGAUUACCGCAAGACAAAGGCCCUAGAGGAGAAAGAAAGGACGAAGCAUCUGUAAAUUGUGAGCUCUUAUCCCUUUGCUGGCGCCUUAUUCCCAAUGAGCUUUCAUGUGUUGUAGUACUGAUGAUGAGACAUUCCGUUGAUUGAAGCAAAACGGCAGGCAGGCGUCUUAACCACUGCUACCUUGAUUAGGGCACAUGUAGUUGGGGGUAGAGGUGUCCUGCGAUUAAUUUGAAGCAAAAUAAAAGGUUAAGUUUUGCUGAGGAUCGAUGUUUGUUUGCACUGGUGUUGCUCAGAUCGGGAUAUGACGACUUUGUGUCUUGUUUGUUGGGAUGUUAGAAAUGCAAAAUUAUUACUGUAUAUAUGGGCCCUGGCUGGAGUGUUUCAGGAUGUCCCAAAUUGUAAACGGCCUGGACCUGCCUGGCCCAUCUAAAACGGGGCCUUUCGCUUCUUCAUUGCAGUAUCCAUCUAUCACUCACUUGGUUUUAGUUUCUCGAUGAUGAUGAAGAUGGUGUGCAUGCUUGCUGGGCUGCUACUCGAUGAUGAUGAUCAGUACUAGUACGCUACACGCAUGCAAAACAGUAUAGUUGUGUUAUCUACUCCAUUUUGUAAGUAUUCCAUUUGUCCUAGAAAGACUAUUAUUAACCUUUUUUUUUUGCUA